rnacentral:lncRNA from 1 species
GUUUUGUUGAUGUUGAUCCUAUUCCUUUCUGUUUGUUAGUUUUCCUUCUAACACUCAGAUCUCUCAGUUGCAGGUCUGUUGGAGUUUGCUGGAGUUCCAUUCCAGACCCUGUUUGCCUGGGUACCACCAACGGAGGCUGCAGAACAGCAAAGAUUGCAGAAAAGCAAAUAUUGCUGCCUGAUCCUUCCUCUGGAAGCUUUGUCCCAGAGAGGCAGCUGCCUAUAUGAGAGUCAUUGCCCUGCAGGUUUUUACACACCACUGCUCUUCAUUCCAUCAAGACAGCGAGCGAUGUAGCAUUUCUUUAGAAAGUGCUCUCCGCCAUCAUCCUCAGGAUUCACUCCCAGCCACUGGCACCCAUAUGUGGACAAAGACAAAUAUCCUAACUGACACUCUGGACAACAGUGAUUGUCACAUGCAUCCCAAUUUCAAUAAAAUAUAAAAAAAGUGCACUUAAUAAUUGACAAGAUGUGGGAUGUAUUUUUCCUGAGAAGUCAGAUGAGGAAGUGAUUAAGUAAGUCACAGAAAGCACCAUCGAGGCAGGCACCAUUGCUCUUGCCAGCAGAGUAGUGCAGAGGAGAAAGAGCUCUCGGUGGAACCAUCAGCUUCACACACAGGAAACCAGGCAGGUCCUGGGUAUUUGGAGUUGAGUCAGGUGCCAGUUGUUGUGAGAGGAAAUUGACUUCUUGAAGUGGGCAGUGGAGGGCUCCCACUUGAGAACUGAAACUCCAUCCUCUAGGCCAAGAAAACAUCAGCAGAUUCUAAGGAACACAGUGACGGGACGGGCUCUCUUGGGUGGCCAUCUGGAGAAUGGAUUGGAAAGGGAGAGCAAGCUGUGAGUCCAGACCUGCUGCACCCUUCCUGGGGGAGCAGGUGCAGCUGCAGCAUCACUGCCAUCAAGGAGGCAGCUGGGGACCUGGGGUGCAAGGAGGCUGGCAGAGGGGCUACUGGGUGUGGGCCAGGGAGGGAUGAAUCCACCUGAUAAAAAUGUAGGCUGGGAAGACAAAUUGCUUUUCCUUUUCUGUUGAGGAGAAUGUGAGCAGGUAUUUGGCAGGUGGGACACCCAACCCACAGAAUCCAAUUCUUGUUGUCAGUUCUGGCUACUUUACAAUCUGGGGACUCAGCCUUUUAGAUUCCAGAAGCUGAAGUGCACAUAGAAAUUGUUACCAAUCACAGCAGGUUUCAAUGACAUGCACAAGCUUUAACAGCAUGAGGGGUGCGUGACCCCAACAACCACUGGUUUUGUUCCUUUGACUCUGUCUUUCCUUUUCCAAACUCACACAUUGCGAAUAAGGUUCAUCCUGAAAAGUCAGUAUUUUUGGAUAUAAACAUGUAACAUAUAAAAAUUUCAUGGCCGGGUGCGGUGGCUCACGCCUGUAAUCCCAGCACUUUGGGAGGCCAAGGCAGGCAGAUUACCUGAGGCCAGCAGCUGGAGACCAGCCUGGCCAACAUGGUGAAACCUCGUCUCUACUAAAAAUACAAAAAUUAACUGGGCGUGGUGGCACACACCUAUAAUCCCAGCUACUCGGGAGGCUGAGGCAGGAGAAUUGCUUGAGCCGGGGACAUGGAGGUUGCAGUGAGCCAAGAUUGUGCCACUGUACUCCAGCCUGGCCAACAGAGCGAGACUCUAUCUAAAAAAAAAAAAAAAUCGCUAUUGUGACCCAAAACUCGGGAAAAUAAGCCAUAAAUUUAAAAUAGCCCGAAGGCAGAAGGGAAACAAAACCAUCUAAUCUGAUAGCUGAGAAUAACAAUCUGAAGAAAGCACUAAAAAGUUUCCCACCUCUUGAAACUUCAUUUCAUAUUUACGUUUAGAGAGCACUCCUCAAAAACGUUUUAUUUUUUCAGACUGUAAUUUGGAGCAGAACUGCUCUUCUGCCAUUUCAAUUAUCCAAAUAUGAUCCCUAGGAUGAGAGAGAGCUGAAUUAUGGUCAACUUCGUCCUAUGAAUGAAGGGGAGCCAGAUUGGCUUUUGGACCCCAACAAACAGCUUAUAUUAACUCAAACACAUUUUAACCGUUUUCAACCUCCUGA